rnacentral:lncRNA from 1 species
GACCUGGUGAGCAUUGAAAAGCCUGGCUGCCCAGCCGAGUUCCUCAACAUCCACAUCCCGCCCGGAGACCCCGUGUUCGACCCGCACAAGAGCGGGGACGUGGUGCUGCCCUUCCAGAGGAGCCGCUGGGAUCCCAACACCGGACAGAGCCCCAGCAACCCCCGGGACCUGGUGAGCAGGGCAGGCGGCAGGGCCGAGGGACCGGACCCGAGGCAGGUGGGGAGAGGCUCCCACCCGCGCCCGACCCUCGCCCUCCCUGACCCGCCUCGACCAUCCGACCCCCGGCUCAGCCCCCACCUCCGCUCCCGCCGUCCCCUCAGACCAACGAGGUGACGGGCUGGCUGGACGGCAGCGCCAUCUAUGGCUCCUCGCACUCCUGGAGCGACGAGCUGCGGAGCUUCUCCGGCGGGCAGCUGGCGUCGGGGCCCGACCCCGCCUUCCCCCGCCAGGCGCAGGACCCGCUCUUCAUGUGGACGCCGCCCGACCCUGCCACAGGGCAGCGCGGACCGCAGGGGCUGUACGCCUUCGGGGCGGAGCAAGGGAACCGCGAGCCCUUCCUGCAGGCGCUGGGCCUGCUCUGGUUCCGCUACCACAACCUGUGCGCGCAGAAGCUGGCCCGCGAGCACCCGCUCUGGGGGGACGAGGAGCUCUUCCAGCACGCGCGCAAGAGGGUCAUCGCCACCUACCAGGUCAGUCGCAAGGCUCCUCGCCCACGUCCUGGUCCCCAGAGCCGUCCCUCCUUGCACAACCCCACGGAGAAACACCCCUCCCCCUCCCCGAGAGCUACUGUCUCCCUGAAAAUGACAAGGAGGCAAAGCGUUACUUAGACAAGAGAUUUCCUAGUGAUUAUUGUUUAGCUGUCGCCCUCCCCGACCCCCUGGUUCCUUGUGGGGGACAGGCACCUCUGCCCCUCUCCUGUUUGAGUGACUCUCCCCUGACUGCCCCAGCCUGGUCCUCAUCUCCCACCUAGGCCUUUCCUGGGCUCAGAUCCCUUCAGGACAGCAGCUCCAGCGCUGGCCUCCCCUUUCCCCUCUCUUGACCCUCAGAGCAUCACUAUG